rnacentral:rRNA from 1 species
CACGUAGGGUGCGAGCGUUGUCCGGAAUUAUUGGGCGUAAAGAGCUUGUAGGCGGUUUGUCGCGUCUGCUGUGAAAAUCCGGGGCUCAACCCCGGACUUGCAGUGGGUACGGGCAGGCUAGAGUGUGGUAGGGGAGACUGGAAUUCCUGGUGUAGCGGUGGAAUGCGCAGAUAUCAGGAGGAACACCGGUGGCGAAGGCGGAUCUCUGGGCCAUUACUGACGCUGAGGAGCGAAAGCGUGGGGAGCGAACAGG